rnacentral:rRNA from 1 species
GCACAAGCGGUGGAGGAUGUGGUUCAAUUCGAAGCAACGCGAAGAACCUUUACCUGGGUUUGACAUCAUAGGAAUACUAUGGAACAUAGUAGGCCUUCGCAAGAAGGAUCCUAUGACAGGUGCUGCAUGGCUGUCGUCAGCUCGUGUCGUGAGAUGUUCGGUUAAGUCCGCUAACGAGCGCAACCCUCGCUGUGUGUUACAAGUGUCACACGGAACUGCCGGUCAUAAACCGGAGGAAGUGGGAUGACGUCAAGUCAGCAUGGCCUUUAUAUCCUGGGCUACACACACGCUACAAUGGGAAGGGACAAUAGGUUGCGAAGCCGCGAGGCGGAGCCAAUCCAGCAAAACUUCCCUCAGUCCAGAUUGCAGGCUGCAACCCGCCUGCAUGAAGUUGGAGUUGCUAGUAAACGCAGGUCAGCCAUACUGCGUUGAAUACGUUCCCGGGGCUU